GGGGGGGUGGUGGUAAAUAACUCAAUCGUUAUACCCGACUAAUGUAUUUUUAUCGUAGCUUUACUUCAUUUUUAUGUCCCCACUAACAACUAUGUUCCGACUUUAAAUUAUGUAGCGACGAGGGCUGCGGCCAUUUCGUUAAUAAAGAAAGCAUUGAUUGCUUGAAUUAAAUCGUUAUUUCCUGAAUUUGUCAUUUAUAUCUACUCACGAAUAGGACAUGGAGGGAGCGGAAGUUCAGGGAAUACGAUAAUCAUUACACAGCCAGGAAAGAAAGGAAAAGGAGAGGGCAACAUAAUCGUACUUGGGAAUAAUGGAGGAGGAGGAGGUUGGGGAGGCGGUGGUGGGGGCGGGUCAACAAUAGUUGCCGACGACGACGGUGGGGGUGGAGACGACACGAUAAUUACUCAAGGCGCAGGCGGAGGCAGUG